rnacentral:tRNA from 1 species
AAGGCUUUAAGUUAAAUAAACUAAUAGCCUUCAAAGCUAUAAAUAUAAGGAGUCUUUUAAGCUUUA